rnacentral:rRNA from 1 species
CCUACGGGGGGCAGCAGUGAGGAAUAUUGGUCAAUGGACGGAAGUCUGAACCAGCCAUGCCGCGUGCAGGAAGACGGCUCUAUGAGUUGUAAACUGCUUUUGUACAAGGGUAAACCUGAAUACGUGUAUUCAGCUGAAAGUACUGUACGAAUAAGGAUCGGCUAACUCCGUGCCAGCAGCCGCGGUAAUACGUAGGAGGCAAGCGUUAUCCGGAAUGACUGGGCGUAAAGGGUGCGUAGGUGGUUUGACAAGUUGGUAGCGUAACUCCGGGGCUCAACCUCGGCACUACUACCAAAACUGUCGGACGUGAGUGCAGGAGGGGCAAAUGGAAUUCCUAGUGUAGCGGGGGAAUGCGUAGAUAUUAGGAGGAACACCAGUGGCGAAGGCGAUUUGCUGGACUGUAACUGACACUGAGGCACGAAAGCGUGGGGAGCAAACAGGAUUAGAUACCCGUGUAGUC